GAUGAACGCUGGCGGCGUGCCUAAUACAUGCGAGUCGAGCGAACAGACGAGGAGCUUGCUCCUUUGACGUUAGCGGCGGACGGGUGAGUAACACGUGGAUAACCUACCUAUAAGACUGGGAUAACUUCGGGAAACCGGAGCUAAUACCGGAUAACAUGUUGAACCGCAUGGUUCAACAGUGAAAGGCGGUCUUGCUGUCACUUAUAGAUGGAUCCGCGCCGCAUUAGCUAGUUGGUAAGGUAACGGCUUACCAAGGCAACGAUGCGUAGCCGACCUGAGAGGGUGAUCGGCCACACUGGAACUGAGACACGGUCCAGACUCCUACGGGAGGCAGCAGUAGGGAAUCUUCCGCAAUGGGCGAAAGCCUGACGGAGCAACGCCGCGUGAGUGAAGAAGGUCUUCGGAUCGUAAAACUCUGUUAUUAGGGAAGAACAAAUGUGUAAGUAACUAUGCACGUCUUGACGGUACCUAAUCAGAAAGCCACGGCUAACUACGUG
rnacentral:rRNA from 1 species